GCGCCGAGCGUCAGGGAGGAGGAGGCGAGAGAAAGCCCGUGACCUACUAGACCCCUCUCCACCUCACCGGUGGUCAAAACUCCCAGCGCCGGUUUCGGGUUUACAAAUGUCUCAGCUUGGGCCUUGUGCCAGAGCACCGCACGCCAAGGGCCAACUGCCCUGCGGUUCUCCAGCCUCUUCCCGCAUCAACUAGACGACGCCCUGGCGCCCUUGUCUCCCGGGCUUGGGCCCCCACGAAAGCCCCGCCCGGCGUUCACAUCCAGAAUCGUGGGCACUUGCUGGUGAAGGAUCGCUGGGCGACCCAGUAGCAGGAUCUCGGGUGCCAAUGCCGUCACCCUCCGGCUACCUUUCCCCCUCCGUUUUCCUCUUUCCUAGAUCGCAUCUUUCUUCCUAUUCAGCCCGGAGCACUCUCCCGGAGCACUCUGCUCAGACUUUGCUAGCACUUUUCCGGGGCACCUAGGGCGCGCCGCCUCCUCCGCGCCGCCCGCGGCGCUCGCCACCGGUGGCACGCACCGAGGACAGCCCGCGGGCCCCUGCGCAGCAUUUCCCGAGGUACUCCCCUCCCGUCCCGCAUCCAGCGAUCCCGGCCCCAUCGUCUCACCUUUGCCGAACUGGGGGACACCGAGGCUGAGCCCAACCAAGAGCCAGGUGAAAACCGAGCGCUUCAUGAUCCGUUCUUCCGGACGUGACCCUGGCUGGUCAGGGGUCGUCGCGGAGGACAGUGAAGCGAAGGUGGCACCGCAGGUCAGCAGUAGACUCCACCCCUGUUAGAGAAUUCAGGAAGAUGUCUUCUUCCCGCAGCGCUUUCUUAAACAAAUUCUUGGAGAGGGCGAGAAAGAGUGGUGGCCACCAAGAGGAACGUUUCCUCCCCUUUGCCUGCGCUCCGACGCGCGGAGGUGGGUGAGCUCCCGGGAAGAGCUGGCGGGCUCUGCCCUCUGCUGCGGGUGGGUCCUGGCCAAGGCUUGGCGGGCGGGGCGCGGACUCUCGUGGUGGCUCCGGGUCUCCCGCGCGGGCGGGCGGACCCGCGGGCAGAGGAGAAGACAGUGCGCUUAGCUCGCGCUGUUAACGCCGCCGCGGCUGCGGGGCUUCUGACUUGGAGAACAAUGAAGCGUGAGCUGGAGGGGAGCGAGCCGGCGACCGGGAGCGCAGUGUGUACAAACAGAGGCGGCGUGCGUCUGAGGAAACCAAGCAUCAAAACAUUUUAGUGUUUGGCCCAAGAUCAAAGAGGCCAUGAGAGACGCAGACAAGAUCCAGUAUCUGACACCUUGUAUGAUUCCAGGAGGGAAAAAAAAAAGAUGAAAGACAACAUAGAUAAAGACAUUUCAGUCAACUCUGCCAUCAAAGCUGUGUUCAACCGCCAGCCACCUCUACCUGAAUGCAGCCACCUGAGGGAGCCCAGGUAAGAGAGGAGGGAGUAUUGGCAUCAGAUCUGCUAUUUUGCUGCCGUCAUUAUUCUGCCUCCCCCACACCAUUUUACAACCCAGAUUGUUAGCCCGCCAACUUCCUAGCCAGUCAUUGGUCUGUUGUUAUUA